rnacentral:rRNA from 1 species
CCUACGGGAGGCAGCAGUGAGGAAUAUUGGUCAAUGGACGAGAGUCUGAACCAGCCAAGUAGCGUGAAGGAUGACUGCUCUAUGGGUUGUAAACUUCUUUUAUAAAGGAAUAAAACGAGGUACGUGUGCCUUUUUGCAUGUACUUUAUGAAUAAGGAUCGGCUAACUCCGUGCCAGCAGCCGCGGUAAUACGGAGGAUCCGAGCGUUAUCCGGAUUUAUUGGGUUUAAAGGGAGCGUAGAUGGGUUGUUAAGUCAGUUGUGAAAGGUUGCGGCUCAACCGUAAAAUUGCAAUUGAUACUGGCAGUCUUGAGUACAGUUGAGGUAAGCGGAAUUCGUGGUGUAGCGGUGAAAUGCUUAGAUAUCACGAAGAACCCCGAUUGCGAAGGCAGCUUACUAAACUGUGGCUGACAUUGAUGCUCGAAAGUGUGGGUAUCAAACAGGAUUAGAUACCCUUGUAGUC